AUAAUCAUUCAUUCACCAUAUUCACACGGCGGCCAUCUUGUUUUGACGUCAUGCUCAGGGUGGGAAGUUCGAGUUCUGUACAGUUGUGUAUGGAUGUUGUGGAUUGUAUCAGUCACGAAUAUGUCUGCUGUGUGCCUGGGUGUAAUUCCUACUACAAAAGACGGGAAAAAGACAAAACACAUUCGUUCCACCGGUUCCUGACAGACACCAGAUUGAAGAGAGAGUGGAUUUCAAAAAUUAGAAGAGACAUCGGUACAUUUUUCCAGCAAUGAACCUGCUGGAGAGACAGAAGAUGCAAGUGUAGACCUGGCUGGAGUUGACACUGGUGCAGACCAAGUUGUUAAGCCAGCACCCCACUCUGACCAUGACUAUGCUGAACUCUCGGUCACUGGAAGAGCAGCUAGAAGCAGCACGGAAGGAGAUCGCCCACCUUACGCAGGAGAAUACCAUCCUCAAGGCAUCCUGUUUCAACUUGCAGCAAAAAUGAUUCAUAGUUCUUGACAUUCUACACUGGAUUUCGGGUGAAUAAUUAUGAAACAUGAAGUCUUUUUCUACAGUGUUGUUACUAUAGUACUUUCUACAGUAUUAGCAAUACUUUGUACACAAAAAAACUCAUACAGCAAUUUAUUUUCCUUGUGCAUUAACAUUGUGCUGAUCUCUGUAUUGUACAGUAAAAAUAAAAAG